UUCCAUCCUCUCCCCGUGUUCGCACCCCGACCCAGGCCACCUUCCAUCCUCGCGCCCCCUCGCCCGCCUCCUCCUCCACGCACAUCGCCGGAUCCGCGCGCGACGAAUCCUCCACGCAGACCUCGCCCGCCUCCUCCUCGACGCCCCCUUGCCCGCCUCCUCCUCCACGGAUCCGCGCCGGACGAAUCCUCCACGCAGACCUCGCCCGCCUUCUCCUCGACGCCCCCUCGCCAGGCUCCUCCUCCACGCAGAUCGCCGCGACCCAGGCCAGGACGCGCGGAUCCACACCAGGUCGCGCGGAUCCGGCGACCCGCCGCGCUCCA
rnacentral:lncRNA from 1 species